UGAACUUUAAUCAAUGAGAAACAUAAUAGGUUCGUUGUGAAAGAUGAAGACGAGGAAGAAGGAGACAUAAACUUUUUGAAGAGUGAUGAGAUUAUCUCAAAAUCAAAUCAAGGAAGUAUACCAAAGGUAGUGUUUGAUUAAUAAUAGCUUCUUCUUUUUUUUCAUUGUUGUAUUUUAUUUAGUUAAUCUUUGAAUUGAAAGUAAUUGUAUUUUUAAACACAAACCUUUAUUAUGAAUUACAGCAUUGUCUUUUGNGANAUCAUAAUGAGUUGGUGGAGGUGUUUUUAUGGANAUGACUUAAUUGUCUCGUCUUAUUUCCCCCAUUUUCUUGAGCUCCACUUUCAUAGAUGAAGCUGUUCAUGCACGAAAGCAGAGAUUAUUUUCAACACUGUUCAUUGCUUUGACAAUUCUCAGGUAUUAUUUUUGUUCAAAGAAUUUAUGGUGAGAAAAUUACAGAAUGAUCUCUUUUAUCUUUCGGAUGACAUGCGAAUUCAAAGAAAUUGCAGAGCUAUAUGAUGGAAAGGAUUAUAGGAGAAUAAGAGAAAAAUUUAUUGAUAAUUAUACGUGUGAUUUUAACUUUUCAAUGUAAUACUAUAUUUCAUAGUAAUUAUUAUGAAAUUAAGAAGAAGAAAAAAUCUGAAAGUGUGAUUUCAGUUAUGAAUGUAAUAUUAAUUUGAUCUUCAAACAAUACUCCAACAAGUUUGAUAUGAAUUAA
rnacentral:lncRNA from 1 species